AUCAUCCUACUCUGUGUGCAGCCUUCAAACUGUGUGCUUGACAUAUGGAAGGAAAAGGGGCCUCUUUGAAAUGUGAGCUGAGUACAGAUCAUGUCACCUGUCCAGCGUGUGACCUGUUCUACUCUCCACCUGAUCGCCUGUGCCCAGUGGCACCUGGACCUGGAAUCUGGAAGAAAAAGUCCUUGACUGGAGUCAGCAGAGAGAAAAUCAUCACCUGCUUAGGUACAAACAUGCCUAGUGACUGCGUCACUGUUUGUCAAGUGGGAUCAGCUAAUAGUUGCACAGCGGGCCUUCAAAGUCCUGCAGUCGGGCUGAUGAAGUUUCUGUAAAUGCACUCCCUGUGUGAAGGCCUUGGACUUUAGAUCUCUGGCAGCAUUUUGAGCUUGCCAACUGGCUCUUGGGUGGACUCUGGUUGGUUAAGCUAGAGUGCAAAAGAAUUAAGUUUCGUUUCCAUCAGCCUUCAUUUGGCUCUGUCUACUCCUACCACACUCUUGCUUCCUUCCGGGCUUUUGCACAGACUGUUUCCUCUGCCUGGGACACCUCCCUCCCUGCUGGACAACAGCCCAGUUUGCUCCUAUGUUUAGCUUAGGGAUCUGCCUUCACAUCACCUCCCUAGAGACCUUGCUGUUUGCUCUCUUUCUCAUUAUCCUGCCUCGUAUUUCUUCAUAGCACCGGAAACCGUUUUAUAUAUUGAUCUGGGAAGUAGUCCAUGGUUUGUCUUCCCCACUAGAAUAUAAAAGUUCUUCAAAAAGUUCUUGGAAAAAUAGUAUUAGAAGAUUAUUUUAGUGCAAAAAUGUUGAGAUUAUGCACCUUUUUUUUCCCUUUUUUUCAAAAUACGCAUUUUCCAUGAAGUGUUUGAAGAUGCUUGUACAAGCUCCCUAAGGAGCCACAACUAUUUCUUCCACCGAUUUGUUCACAUUGCCUACAAUAGUACCUGACCACAGAGGACCUUCAUGAAAUAUUUGUGGAAUACAGGAAUGACUGAAUGAGGAUUAUAAUGACUAUAAAAAAUGAUUUCUCCUCAUUUUACAAAUGGAGAGACUGGAAGAUUGGGAGAAUAAACUACUCAAGAUCCAUUUAGUGACAGAGACAGUAUCAACACUUUAAUUUCCUCACAAUCCAGGAAAUGUUUUCAAAUGUUUUUAUUCUAUAGAAUGUUCUCCAACAAUUUGGCAACUAACACAACUGUCAACUCACUGUUUCCACAUUUGUUUACCAUCCUUUAUUCAGUUCAUGUCUAUGGAAUGGAUCAGAACUUUAUGAGGGGUCCUGGUGCUACCAUCUUGCUUUGUGAUCAAAUCACCUGAAAAAGAAGGAACGGAAAGAGAAGCAGACGUCGAAAAGGCAGAAGGAGGAGGAGAUGUGAUACUUCUGAGUUCCUUUUUGAAAUUUGCAACAUUCAAAAAUUUGUUUUCAUUAUUACAUAUAUUUAACUCAAUUAGCUGAGGGAGAAAAUGAAACAAAUUUUUUUCUAUGUAAAAUCCUGGCCAAUAACUUUCCAGAGUUAAUAGAUAUGAAAUCAGUUUCAUCAAGUUUGUGGAGGAUGAAGGAGAAUUGUUACCAAUAUACACACACAGUAACACACUGCACUUGCAUGGACAGAUAGUACUGAAAUUGUACAAAACCUGAGAGGAAGACAAAGUACUGAUGACUAUUAUGGAUAGAAAAAUACAUGGUACACAUUAAGGAUCAAGUGAAGAAAUACAGCAGACUGCUUAUUAUAAUAAGAAAGAUGUCAAAGCAUGAAAUAUUUAAAGUGCUGAACGAUUAAAAAAAGUCCUCAAAUUACAUUUCUAUACCCAGAGAAAACAUCUCAAAGAUAAACGUUUUUCUCAGAAGAAAGGAAGGAUUUUAUUGCCUGCAUGUUGACAUGACCAGAGAUGUUCAAGGAAGUUGUGCAAGUAGACUUAGAUACCAGAGAGGAGCUUCUCUGCACACAUAAUUGAAGAACACUAAAUCUUGCUGAUGAUAAGCAUAAAUCUUGCGUUGUUCUAAUUUGUAUUUGCUCUAAUAGAUAACCAACUUUUAAUGUUGUUAUCAAUGGUUUUAAAGUGUUUUUCUACUUACUUCCAAAUUGCAUUUCAAAAUACUUUAAAGCAAUUUUCACUUCAAAUACAAAUGAGAAUGGCUAUAUGUCCUCCUAUGUGUCCUGCAAAUAUUAGAUAGUGUAAUUUCAUUUUUAAAAAACUAAGCCAAAAUACUA